GGCUUGUGGCUCAGCGGCAGAGCGCUUGGCCUCACACGAUCGAGGCCCUGGGUUCGAUCCUCAGCACCA
rnacentral:tRNA from 1 species